GGAUCAGGUAGGAAUACCCGCUGAACUUAA
rnacentral:rRNA from 1 species